rnacentral:lncRNA from 1 species
CAGCUGAGUGGCUCUUCCAGAAGUGGUUGGCAGCUCACAGCUGUGCCAGGCAGAGUGGCUGCUUCCACAUGGCUAGAGGCUGCCCUGGCCUUGGAGCUCUUACCCAACGCUACUCUGGUCUACCUGGUGUCUGCCAGGAGGGCGUAGGAUCGGACUCACAGUGACUGGUACCAUCCAUCGGAUCCCUGGUGCUGCUAGGCGUGUUGCAGUUGUGGAGCAUGACAAGCUGGCGAAUGAGGGGUGAUCACCACGAAUGAGGAGUGCAAGACUAGAUUCAUACAAAACACCUCGAAGUAAUGGAGGAUAUCAGGAAUUAAGCUUAGCACGGUCGACAUGACUAGGGUCCCUCACCUUGUCCAACCUCCAACAGAAGGGUCCAGUUUGCUCUGAGGUGCCAGUCACUGGGCCAGUGUGUCUACAUGCAUUAUAAAGCUGUGUCAUACAGAAGUGCCACAAUGAUGGCAGACUAUCUGAUUCAGGUACACAACGGAAGCCCGGAGGAGGCUGUAUAUGCUCGAAAGCUAAUUCCAAAAUCUGGUCACACCUCUCUGUAAGGCCCAACUGGUUGGAAGUUCUCGAAGAGUUCCACAAGGUUUCUGCAAGGGCA